rnacentral:piRNA from 1 species
UGCUGUCUUGCAUCUACCACCUU